GUUCCAAGUUGGCACAAUGGGUCCAUGUGUCUGGCUGUUAACCAGAAGGUUAGUAGUUCGAGCCCACCCAGGGACA